rnacentral:tRNA from 1 species
GAGGAUUUAGCUCAGUGGUUCCACCGUCUGCCUCGAAAGCAGAAGGUCUGAGUUCGAUCCCCAGUACCCCCC